rnacentral:siRNA from 1 species
AGGGCUAUAUUAAUAUCUAUUCC